AUGAGACUUCAUUUGACUGCACCAUAAAUAAAAAAAGAAUCAAAUUUCUAUUACCAUAUUUUGUGAACUUUUUCAUUUAGUUCUUUUAAUUAUACACAAUAAUUCGUAAAAGAAGUGGAUGUUUAGCUUCAUUGACUUGAACUUAUUGUUGGGGCUAUGUACACACCUCCACAAAUAUAACUCACAGGCUCAGGCUGAGGGUCCAUCAGAUAUUGAUCGAAGAUUGGCUCUAAAUAGAAGAGAGUCAAGAAACCACAGCACCUAUCCAACAAAAAAAAUGAAAAAAUAACAAGCAAGCACACUUAGGAUUUUUAGUCAUGAAAUUAAUAAAUAAUAUGGGAGAAGAGCAAUAUCAUGUAAAAGUGAGACAGCAAUUUAGGGAUACUUUUAGAAACCUCAAAUUUAUCCAUGUAUGACCAUAUAAUUCAUAAGAAGUUGUGCUUAAACAAAUGUAGUAUGCUAGACAUGAGACACAAACCUACACAAAGAAACCAAAUUCAUAAAGAUAAGAGGUGCUAAGCAGUAAGAAAACUGUGUAUGCCAAUCCAAGUAGGCUCUAGAGAAACAUAAUAAUCGCGUUCUAGCUAAUUGAAUGUAUACAUGAAGCAAAAAAAGAACAAUUUGCAAACUGAAACUACAAAAAUUAAUUCUAAAACUAAUCAAAUGAAUAUUCUAAAGCAUUCAGGCCUAUGAAAAUUCAAAAAGGUUAGCUAAAACCCACAAGGCAUGCGAUGUCAUCAUAAAAUGACAAGAAAACGUGUUCUCAUGAAUAAAUAGUACAAAAUAAAAUUUAGAAUGGAUGAAUAGAUGUGCAUGGCUCUUCAAAUGAAAAUCAAAAUUAAUCAGGAAAAGGGAAGAAAUGCCAACAAAUCCUGAAAACUAACAGACAUUCAUACACCUAUACCAAUAGCAUGACUUAUAUGCAUACAGAAAAUCUAACACAUAUAAGGGAACCAAAACAAAUCAAGCCCCAUAUACAAGUUGAAUUAAGCAGAAUAUUCAGUUCUGAAGGGAGCUGAACAUGUCCCUAAUCCAGAGAAGAGACUGGACCUAUUGAGGCUAUAUCCUCAAACACCAACCUCUGUGACCCGCAAACAUGUGUAAUUCAAUUGGAUGCAACGAGAAAAACCAAACUCAUAUGAAUUAAUGUGAAUGCCUAAAAAAUGAUCAAGCAAUUCAGACCGUGAUACGUGAAAAAUGUAAAAAAUUACAAAAACCUAACAGGACAAAACAGACAGAACGGGAAACGGAAGCAAACGGAAGAUAUCACCGGAGAAAACGAAAUUCCGUUCAAGAAAAUUAGGACGCCUGAGCCUCAUACAAAAUACAAAAGGGAAAGACACGCAAUAAGCUCCACUCUGUCUGAACUUAAAAACCUAAUACAUUCAUAAUGAUUGAGCAAAACCAGACCAAACAAUCAAUUCUGAUUCAUUGAAAGUCUCAACUUCAAACGUCGAAUCAUAAACACAAAACGAACAAUUAGGGAAAGGGGAAUCAAAAGGAUCAGUGAUUUACCUGGCUUGAAGAGUCCCGAAAGGUCCAGCUGCAAUACAGUCUUUAGCCGCGCGGUUGUUCCAGAGGAAGACGGCCAAUGAAAAAAUAAUAAUAAUAAUAUGAAUUUAAACUUAAAUUAU
rnacentral:lncRNA from 1 species